AUGGUUUCGCAUAGCAUUGGCAAUGACCAAGAAAACAAAAAAAAUACAUGGUUCCAGCAAAAACAAAGUAUGGUUCCAGCAAAAACAAAAAAAAUGGUUUCGCAUAGCAUUGGCAAUGACCAACAAAACAAAAAAAAUGCAUGGUUCCAGCAAACAAAAAACAUGGUUCCAGCAAAAACAAAGUGUGGUUCCAGCAAAAACAAACAGAUUGCCGUCGCUGGAUCACAGCAAAAAAAUUGGUCCGUUCCAGCAAAAAAACUGGGUCGCCGCCGAUCCGUAGCUGCCGGCCCCAGCAGCACGCACCACCGGUUGCAACAUCCCGGCGGGCUGCUCCCAGCGCGCACCACCGGUGCUGGCGUGUGGGUCUUGUAG
rnacentral:rRNA from 1 species